AACGAACGCUGGCGGCAUGCUUAACACAUGCAAGUCGAACGAGACCUUCGGGUCUAGUGGCGCACGGGUGCGUAACGCGUGGGAAUCUGCCCUUUGCUACGGAAUAACUCAGAGAAAUUUGUGCUAAUACCGUAUAAUGUCGAAAGACCAAAGAUUUAUCGGCAAAGGAUGAGCCCGCGUAGGAUUAGCUAGUUGGUGAGGUAAAGGCUCACCAAGGCGACGAUCCUUAGCUGGUCUGAGAGGAUGAUCAGCCACACUGGGACUGAGACACGGGCCAGACUCCUACGGGAGGCAGCAGUGGGGAAUAUUGGACAAGGGGCGAAAGCCUGAUCAAGCAAUGCCGCGUGAGUGAUGAAGGCCUUAGGGUUGUAAAGCUCUUUUACCAGGGAUGAUAAUGACAGUACCUGGAGAAUAAGCUCCGGCUAACUCCGUGCCAGCAGCCGCCGUAACAC
rnacentral:rRNA from 1 species